rnacentral:rRNA from 1 species
UACGAAGGGGGCUAGCGUUGCUCGGAAUCACUGGGCGUAAAGGGUGCGUAGGCGGGUUUUUAAGUCAGAGGUGAAAUCCUGGAGCUCAACUCCAGAACUGCCUUUGAUACUGAAAGUCUUGAGUAUGGGAGAGGUGAGUGGAACUGCGAGUGUAGAGGUGAAAUGCGUGGAUAUCGGAAGGAACACCUGUGGCGAAAGCGGCUCACUGGACCAUUACUGACGCUGAUGCACGAAAGCUAGGGGAGCAAACAGG